rnacentral:rRNA from 1 species
GACGAACGCUGGCGGCGUGCCUAAUACAUGCAAGUUGAGCGAUGAAGCUUGGUGCUUGCACCAAUUUGAAGAGCAGCGAACGGGUGAGUAACGCGUGGGUAAUCUGCCUUUGAGCGGGGGACAACAUUUGGAAACGAAUGCUAAUACCGCAUAACAACUUUAAACAUAAGUUUUAAGUUUGAAAGAUGCAAUUGCAUCACCCAAAGAUGAUACCGCGUUGUAUUAGCUAGUUGGUGAGGUAAAGGCUCACCAAGGCGAUGAUACAUAGCCGACCUGAGAGGGUGAUCGGCCACAUUGGGACUGAGACACGGCCCAAACUCCUACGGGAGGCAGCAGUAGGGGAUCUUCGGGAAUGGACGAAAGGCUGACCGAGCAACGCCGCGGGAGUGAAGAAGGUUUUCGGAUCGGAAAACUCUGUUGGUAGAGAAGAACGUUGGUGAGAGUGGAAAGCGCAUCAAGUGACGGUAACUACUCAGAAAGGGACGGCUAACUACGUG